rnacentral:rRNA from 1 species
GACGAACGCUGGCGGCGUGCCUAAUACAUGCAAGUAGAACGCUGAAGGAGGAGCUUGCUUCUCCGGAUGAGUUGCGAACGGGUGAGUAACGCGUAGGUAACCUGCCUGGUAGCGGGGGAUAACUAUUGGAAACGAUAGCUAAUACCGCAUAACAGUAGAUGUUGCAUGACAUUUGCUUAAAAGGUGCAAUUGCAUCACUACCAGAUGGACCUGCGUUGUAUUAGCUAGUUGGUGGGGUAACGGCUCACCAAGGCGACGAUGCAUAGCCGACCUGAGAGGGUGACAGGAAAGAGUGGGACGGAGAUAAGGCCAAGACUCGUGAGGGAGGAAGGAGUGGGGAAGAUUGCACGAUGGGCGGAAGAAUGAAGCAGCAAUGCCGAGUGCGGGAUGACGGAUUUAGGGUUGUAAACAGAUUGCGACGGUGACGAAGAGUGAGGGACGGUAAUGGGUAAAGAAGCAACGGCUAACUACGUG